rnacentral:rRNA from 1 species
CCAACGAGUUACGUUAAGUAGCAAGGUUAAGCACUUAAGGUGCGGAGCCGUAGCGAAAGCGAGUUUUAACUGAGCGUUCAGUUACUUGACGUAGACCCGAAACCGGGCGACCUACCCAUGAGCAGGAUGAAGCGAAAGUAAAAUUUCGUGGAGGUCCGAACCCACGAGCGUUGAAAAGCUCGGGGAUGACUUGUGGGUAGCGGUGAAAUUCCAAUCGAGCCCGGAGAUAGCUGGUUCUCCCCGAAAUAGCUUUAGGGCUAGCCUCAAGGUGAGAGAUACGGAGGUAGAGCACUGAAUGUCCUAGGGGGUAUUGCACCUACCGAAGACUAUCAAACUCCGAAUGCCGUCAUCUUAUACUUGGGAGUCAGACUGUGGGUGAUAAGAUUCAUAGUCGAAAGGGCAACAGCCCAGAUCGUCAGCUAAGGUCCCUAAAUGUAAGUUAAGUGGUAAAGGAUGUGGGAUUGCACAGACAACCAGGAUGUUGGCUUAGAAGCAGCCACUCAUUCAAAGAGUGCGUAAUAGCUCACUGGUCGAGUGAUCCUGCGCCGAAGAUUUCCGGGGCUAAAACUUACUACCGAAGCUACGGCAUCAGUAAUGAUGGGUAGGGGAGCUUCCCAUACGGGUUGAAGCAUGACCGUAAGGACAUGUGGACAGUAUGGGAGUGAGAAUGUUGGCAUGAGUAGCGAGAUGUGGGUGAGAAUCCCACAGGCCGUAAACCCAAGGUUUCCAGGGGAAGGUUCGUCCGCCCUGGGUUAGUCGGGACCUAAGCUGAGGCCGAAAGGCGUAGGUGAUGGACAACAGGUUGAUAUUCCUGUAC